ACGUAGGUGACGAGCGUUGUUCGGAUUUAUUGGGCGUAAAGGGUUCGUAGGAUGUUUAUUAAGAUUGGUGUGAAAUCCCAAGGCUCAACCUUGGAACUGCAUUGAUUACUGUUGAACUAGAGUAUCGGAGAGGAAAAUGGAAUUCCAGGUGUAGGGGUGAAAUGCGUAGAGAUCAGUAGGAACACCGACAGCGAAGGCGACCUACUGGAACAUUAUUGACGCUGAGGUGCGAAAGCGUGGGGAGCAAACAG
rnacentral:rRNA from 1 species